rnacentral:rRNA from 1 species
UACGGAGGGUGCAAGCGUUUAUCCGGAUUCACUGGGUUUAAAGGGUGCGUAGGCGGGUAAGUAAGUCCGUGGUGAAAUCUCUGAGCUUAACUCAGAAACUGCCGUGGAUACUAUUUGCCUUGAAUAUUGUGGAGGUGAGCGGAAUAUGUCAUGUAGCGGUGAAAUGCUUAGAUAUGACAUAGAACACCAAUUGCGAAGGCAGCUCA